rnacentral:tRNA from 1 species
CUUAUUUAGUGACUGAAAAGCAAGUAAUGGUCUCUUAAACCAAUCUAUGGUACACGCACUUACCCUAAAUA